rnacentral:rRNA from 1 species
UACGAAGGUGGCUAGCGUUGCUCGGAAUGACUGGGCGUAAAGGGCGCGUAGGCGGCUUACAUAGUUAGGCGUGAAAUUCCUGGGCUCAACCUGGGGACUGCGUCUAAUACAUGUAGGCUUGAGUGUGAAAGAGGGUCGUGGAAUUUCCAGUGUAGAGGUGAAAUUCGUAGAUAUUGGAAAGAACACCGGUGGCGAAGGCGGCGACCUGGUUCAUUACUGACGCUGAGGCGCGAAAGCGUGGGGAGCAAACAGG